ACAACAUUCGAACAGUCGGUCUGCCAAGCAAUAGCACCUGCUCGGUGGAAGAUGUUCCUUUCGUCGU
rnacentral:pre_miRNA from 1 species